rnacentral:rRNA from 1 species
CUACGGGUCGCACCAGUGAGGAAUAUUGCACAAUGGGGGGAACCCUGAUGCAGCAACGCCGCGUGGAGGAUGACGCAUUUCGGUGUGUAAACUCCUUUUAUAUAUCAAGAAAAUGACGGUAGCAUAUGAAUAAGCACCGGCUAACCCCGUGCCAGCAGCCGCGGUAAUACGGAGGGUGCAAGCGUUACUCGGAAUCACUGGGCGUAAAGGACGCGUAGGCGGGUUGGAAAGUCAGGUGUGAAAUCCUACAGCUUAACUGUAGAACUGCACUUGAAACUUCUAAUCUUGAGUAUGGGAGGGGGAGAUGGAAUUAGUGGUGUAGGGGUAAAAUCCGUAGAUAUCACUAGGAAUACCUAAAGCGAAGGCGAUCUCCUGGAACAUUACUGACGCUAAGGCGUGAAAGCGUGGGGAGCAAAUAGGAUUAGAUACCCGUGUAGUC